rnacentral:lncRNA from 1 species
UUUGACUUGAGAAGAAAAUACAUACGGCUCAUCAAUCAAUUGUUGUCCUGUGUGAAUCAAUCGAGCGAAGUUUACCAUUGUGAAACCAAAUUGAUCUUGCUUGAUUCCACGUGCAGUAUUAACAUCGGCCCAAUCACCUCGAAAUAAGACAACUUUCCAUUUGCCGUAGUAAUCCAACUCAAUUAUGUCAGUAAGAAGUCCAAAAUAUUCCACAUUUCCCUCCACAGGAUUAUUGUCCCUAGC